rnacentral:misc_RNA from 1 species
AGCAGCCGCGGUAAUUCCAGCUCCAAUAGCGUAUAUUAAAGUUGUUGCAGUUAAAAAGCUCGUAGUUGAAUUUCGGGGUUAGCAGGUCGGUCGUGCCAUUGGUAUGAACUGGUCUCGCUGAUCCCUCCCUCUUGACGAACUGUGAUGCCAUUAAUUUGGUGUCGCAGGGAAUCAGGACUGUUACUUUGAAAAAUUAGAGUGUUUAAAGCAGGCUCACGCUUGAAUACAUUAGCAUGGAAUAAUAAAAUAGGACGUUUGAUCCUAUUUUGUUGGCUUCUAGGAUUGACGUAAUGAUUAAUAGGGAUAGUUGGGGGCAUUAGUAUUCAAUUGUCAGAGGUGAAAUUCUUGGAUUUAUUGAAGACUAACUACUGCGAAAGCAUUUGCCAAGGAUGUUUUCAUUAAUCAAGAACGAAAGUUAGGGGAUCGAAGACGAUCAGAUACCGUCGUAGUCUUAACCAUAAACUAUGCCGACUAGGGAUCGGAUGAUGUUAAUUUUUAAUGACUCAUUC